GAUAUAAUGAAGAAAGAAGAGAUAUUGAUGUUGAGGAUGAAAGCUUUAAAUAAUGGGAAAUAGAAGUAAUAUUAAUAUAGAUGAUAUUUUAGACAAAUGAAGAUGAGGCGAUGAAAAAGUUAUUGAAGAAAAUAUAAUAAAUGAAAAGUAAUUGUAGUUCUGAGACAAAUAAAUAUUGAAACCAAAAAUGAUAAGAGAAAGAAAAUAGGUGAUACUAUUUUUUUUAUAUCAGACAAUUUAUUUUUAAUAUAAUAAAAAUAUAUAUGUGAGGUUCAAUCUGAAGAUAUCUCCUAUGGUUUGGAUUCUGAUGAAAAUGCUAUAGCCUUAUUAUCGGUAGCAACAAUUCAUAUAAUAAAGGUAUAAAGGAUAAAUCACAAAUUAUUUAAUGCUCUUUCUUUGAUAUUAUAAAUUAUAAUAUAUAUAUUCUGCAAUAGCAAAUAUUAAAUACUGUACUGUAAUAAAUAGAUUAAAUAUUUUGUAUUAAAAAAAUAUUAUCAUAAGC